CAUGUCUAUAGUGAGCAAUUUUUGCAUUCACAUCCCAUGCUUCAGUGCUCUGGAAGUGUUUAUAGCGCUGUGACUUUAACACUUCAUGACUGAGAACUGCUGCUACAGCAACUUCACCCACACCUACCAUGACUUUGAUCCCUGUCUUCAUCUGGACACUGAUCCUCUGGACUCAAGAGUGCAAAGGUCAAGUCACAGUAACUCAGACUCCAGUGAAAUCUGCUCUUCCAGGAGAAACAGUCACCAUCAAUUGUAGAACCAGUCAGGCAACGGACAAGGACUCAACUGGUUAUCGAUUACACUGGUAUCAACAGAAACCUGGAGAAGCUCCUAAACUUCUCAUUAAAUACGUAAGCCAGCUACAGUUAGGUUUUCCAGCUCGUUUCAGUGGCAGUGGAUCUGGAUCUGAUUUCACUCUGACCAUCAGCGGGGUCCAGACUGAAGAUGCAGCAGAUUACUACUGUCAGAGUUACCAUAGCAUCACUGGCUACUGGUUCACACAGUGUUAUAGAGUCGUACAAAAACCUCCCUUCAGUCAGAUUGUGGAGAGACUGCAGUUCUGCAGCUGGGAGUGACUGCAGGUGCUGACUUAGAGGAUGUGAUACGACACAAUGACACUCUGUGGAGGAAAGGAACCACACCACACUAACAGAAUAACUCACAUUAGAAAUCUCUCAACAAACAUGAUUAUAUGAAUACCAGUUAUUCUUUAAGUAGCUUCAGCAAAGAAGGACUUUUAACUAGACCCUAAGGUUAUUAGUUUUUUUAUGCAAUAUAUUAAUAUAGAUAUUACUUUACCACUUACCCCUUCUGUAAUAUAUUAAUAUAGUUACCCCUUUACCACUUACCCCUUCUGUACAUACUGUAUCUCAAGGAUGAACCAUGACUUAGCGUUGUUUUCCUUUAAGGCCAAAUUUAGAAUGAUCAAUAUCAGCAUUUAAUUGUUUUAAAAAUUAUUGUUCUGAAUAACCCUAAUGUUUGGGCAAUGCUGGUACAUUACGCACAUACGUUAGUUUAAGUGUGCACAGUAUCAGUUGCUUAAGUAUUCACACCUCUUGCAUUAUUUUAAAUGUUGUAAUCUUACACAAUGUUUGUCACAAAUACAUUUGUGUCUCGGGGAAGACUUGUGUCUAUCUCCAAGCCAGAUGCUGUCUCUUAUUAGUUCUUUUCUCCUCAAGACCCCACACUGUGUGAAACUAUCUUGCCAUCUCACUGUCUAAAAACCCUGACCACGUAAAAUGAGUUAUAAAUUGACAUGGUUACAAGCAAGACAUAGCCUGCUACGAUCC